AGAAGUGACUUGGCUUGGAUGAUUUGAUGAUGUCUCAUGACCCAAAGAUUUAUCUCUCAAAGCUUGCAAAAUGGUUGAUGCUCUUGAGAACGAUAGGAACAUUGAGAUAUGGAAGAUCAAGAAACUUAUUAAGGCAUUGGAAGCUGUAGGAACUAAUGGCACAAGCAUCAUCUCCCUGAUCAGGAAACCUCGUGAUCAGGUCUCUCGUGUGGCACAAAUUAAUUUGGUUCAGAAGGCCUUCACUUUGAUACACUUUUUUUGUUUGAAAAAUUAUGAUUAUGAGUCUUAAAAAAGGGACACAUUACUCAAUGCAAGUAUCACGGUUUUCCCCUAAUGUGUUCUUGGUAAUAACAAUAAUGUAUCACAUACUAACAUUUUUUUUAGUUCCAACUCUCUUUCUCCAUUCUUAAUGUUUGAAUUCUUUAUGCAUCCUUCUUUCAUCAUGGAUGCACAAUUAUCUAAAUUUUAGUUUAUU